GGCGGCACGCUUAACACAUGCAAGUCGAACGAGAAACUCGGAGCUUGCUCUGGGUGGACAGUGGCGAACGGGUGAGGAACACGUGAGGAACCUGCCCUGGAGACCGGGACAACAUCGGGAAACCGUUGCUAAUACCGGAUGCCGUCAUCGGAUCGCAUGAUCUGAUGACGAAAUGGAUUCCGCUCCAGGAUGGCCUCGCGGCCUAUCAGCUUGUUGGUGGGGUAACGGCCCACCAAGGCUUCGACGGGUAGCUGGUCUGAGAGGAUGUCCAGCCACACUGGGACUGAGACACGGCCCAGACUCCUACGGGAGGCAGCAGUGGGGAAUCUUGCGCAAUGGGCGAAAGCCUGACGCAGCGACGCCGCGUGAGGGAAGAAGGCCUUCGGGUUGUAAACCUCUUUCAGGAGGGACGAAGCCACUCGGGUUAAUAGCCCAGAAGGUGACGGUACCUCCAGAAGAAGCCCCGGCUAACUACGUGCCAGCAGCCGCGGUAAUACGUAGGGGGCAAGCGUUGUCCGGAUUUAUUGGGCGUAAAGA
rnacentral:rRNA from 1 species